UAGGGAAUAUUGGACAAUGGGGGCAACCCUGAUCCAGCCAUGCCGCGUGAGUGAAGAAGGCCCUCGGGUUGUAAAGCUCUUUUGUCCGGAAAGAAAAGCUUCGGGUUAAUACCCCGGGGUUCUGACGGUACCGGAAGAAUAAGCACCGGCUAACUUCGUGCCAGCAGCCGCGGUAAUACGAAGGGUGCAAGCGUUACUCGGAAUUACUGGGCGUAAAGCGUGCGUAGGUGGUUGUUUAAGUCUGAUGUGAAAGCCCUGGGCUCAACCUGGGAAUGGCAUUGGAAACUGGGCAGCUAGAGUGCGGUAGAGGGUAGUGGAAUUCCCGGUGUAGCAGUGAAAUGCGUAGAGAUCGGGAGGAACAUCUGUGGCGAAGGCGACUGCCUGGACCAGCACUGACACUGAGGCACGAAAACGUGGGGAGCAAACA
rnacentral:rRNA from 1 species